ensembl:miRNA gmo-mir-8160a gmo-mir-8160a
AGAAUAAUGCCAGCAGUCGGUCAGCGUGUAGCAGAGACCCACCCUGGUGUUAUUAGGA